CGGCAUGCCUUCACAUGCAAGUUCGAACGGCAGCGCGGGAGCAAUCCUGGUCGGCUAGUGGCGUAACGGAUAAGUAAUACAUCGCGAACGAUGCCCAUCGGUGGGGGAUAACGCAGCGAAAGCUGUGCUAAUACCGCAUACGAUCUACGGAUGAAAGCAGGGGAUCGCAAGACCUUGCGCGAAUGGAGCGGCCGAUGGCAGAUUAGGUAGUUGGUGAGGUAAAGGCUCACCAAGCCUUCGAUCUGUAGCUGGUCUGAGAGGACGACCAGCCACACUGGGACUGAGACACGGCCCAGACUCCUAC
rnacentral:rRNA from 1 species